rnacentral:rRNA from 1 species
GACGAACGCUGGCGGCGUGCUUAACACAUGCAAGUCGAACGGAAAGGCCCUGCUUUUGUGGGGUGCUCGAGUGGCGAACGGGUGAGUAACACGUGAGUAACCUGCCCUUGACUUUGGGAUAACUUCAGGAAACUGGGGCUAAUACCGGAUAGGAGCUCCUGCUGCAUGGUGGGGGUUGGAAAGUUUCGGUGGUUGGGGAUGUACUCGCGGCUUAUCAGCUUGUUGGUGGGGUAGUGGCUUACCAAGGCUUUGACGGGUAGCCGGCCUGAGAGGGUGACCGGACACAUUGGGACUGAGAUACGGCCCAGCCUCCUACGGGAGGCAGCAGUGGGGAAUAUUGCACAAUGGGCGGAAGCCUGAUGCAGCAACGCCGCGUGCGGGAUGACGGCCUUCGGGUUGUAAACCGCUUUCGCCUGUGACGAAGCGUGAGUGACGGUAAUGGGUAAAGAAGCACCGGCUAACUACGUG